GUGUCGUUAUUUUGUGUUCUGUGUCAUGCCCCGUCCUGCAACCGGGCCACGUCACUUUACUUAUUUCGGCCUCGAACACUGUGCAGGAGCCUCUUUCUGGUUAGCUGAGCACCUGCACCAGGCAGUUCAGAACUGUCUGCCAGGAAGGAAGAUGCCCAUCGGCCUAUUCUGUGUCCUUCCUUCUAGCACAGAAUGAUGACAUCCUGUGUCAGUGUCAUGGAUUCUAGAUAUGGUGGCUCAGGCCAUAGAAAUGUCCUGAAUAAGGAACGGCCCCACCUAAGUGGGAUGGUGCCCUGGCAUAGUGCCCUGGCACGGUGUCCUGGCACGGUGUCCUGGGAGGCCAGAAACCUGGUUCUGGUUCCAGUUCCAGUUCUGCCACCCACCAGCUCACCCAGGCCCAGAACUGCUCCUGGACUGGGUUAUUUCUGCCCCUCACAAAAGGCCCACGCGUCCACUUGGAACGCUUGUGAGGCGAGGUCUCAACACCCAGGCCUGAAAUAAGACAAGUGGCAGCCACAGUUCCAAUGUCUGCCCUCCUGCCAGCCGCAAAGAACCCCAACAUCUCGGAGCUGGAAGGCCCCUCCGAGGUUCCCUGCAGCCCUCUCCCGCACAGGUGAGGAGCUGCGCACCGCCCGGCCGCCAGGACGGGGGACAGAGGCGGCGCCGCGCCGGCAGCCGUGGCCUCAGCUGCAGGCCACUGUGCAGUCAUCAGACGUUAUAUUUAACGCCGUCACAUUUGGGCGGGCAGCCUGAGCACCAGACACAACUGGCUCGGGGACGUUCCCCACAUAACUUCAGCACCGUUCAGAGGCUGGUUUAGGCCGCCGUCUGGAAGCACCCAGAAAUAAGAAGUCAUGACGUUGCAGAAGCAGACAGCAGCCCGUCGGUGCAAGAAUAGAUCUACUUGUGGAGCUGCAGGCGGACACUCUGCACCCGAGAACCCCACGAGGUGAAAAAGUGUUAAUAUGUUGCUCACAGUCCUCUCGUUAAUAAGCCAAAGAACCAGAAUUUGAACUCGGGUCUGCCUGGUGCAGGUGCCAUGGAGUGAGUCUCUUUGUUUUGCUUUGUCCGCUCCCCAUAACUGCUUCGUGCCCUGCAGUUGCCCUUAAAUCCACUGUGGGAUUCGGAAUCAAUGGGGUGCCAAAAGUACAAUCUGUGCCUGAAUAUUGGACUCUUUCCAGUCACCUUGUAUACUCUUGACAAGCCUUGUGCAGCCUGGCCUGUCUGGGCCCUGCACCCUGCCCGGCCGACCGACAGACGUUCGUCGUGCGCACGGCGGGAGUACGCAGCCGGGUACGCAGCCGGAGCCUGGGAGUCUGAGAAGCUGAGAAAUGGCCCGUUUUGUGAUGCAGACAUACCGGGCAAGGCUUGGCAGGGAAGGCAGUGACAGCCGAAACCGCACCAGCGUCGGGUCAGGACACGUGACAACGACAGUGAGUGCCGGCCCCGGGCCCUGGCACCGGCCACGCAAACUCUCAGUGUCUUCACUCGUGAGUGGGCAGUGACGCCAGCCGUCCCUCCUGCUUGGCAGGGUCCUUGCAAGCGUCAAAUGACAAAAUGGACGUGCCAGGGUGCUGGGGCCUCAGGUGCCUCGUGCCGCAGCGCUGGCCCCAGGAGCCGGGCUAAUGGCAGAGCGAGAAAUUCGUCCGCGGUCCAAAGCCCUGCUCUGCAGUUGGAGGAACAGCCUGCAUUGCAGCCCCGGCCCAGCCUCGGGCGGGCUUGGGACUGCACAGUGAGUGCACUCGUGCUGUGGCCGAAACAGCCCCCUGCACCCGGCCUGUCUGCACUGCUCCCUCUUGGAUGGGAACUGGUUUUCCUUUUCUGACUUUGCAUGUUCCCAGAUUCUAGAACUAAGCCAACCAUAAAGAAAGAAAAACUCCCUGUAUGUCUCCUCACUGGUCCAAAGGAGAUGAAAGCCAUCCUUGCACGGCACAGGACUAGAUAAGUCAGUACUUACGAAGCCUCUAGAACAUGCUCGGCACAGAGUACGUGCUGCAUUAACACGAGCUAUUAGUAGUAGUACCGCGAUUUUUAUUGUUGUUGAGAGGAUUGUUGAGAGGAACCAGUAAUUUCCAGCACUCAGAAGCCCAGGUGCACGUGCAAAACGAGAGCCGCAGCGCGAGGGCCCGAGCACCAGAUCCCAGGGCACCAGAUCCUGCCUGUUUCUGCCUCCCGCUUGGCCUGGCCGCCCUGUUCUCUCUGACCUUCCAGCUUCCCUGUGCCGCUCCCUCUGCCUGCAGCCCGCUUCCCUCUGCGGGCCCCUGGAGAAUUUCCACUCAUUCUUCUGAGAUGUCACUCAUCCAAGAGGCCCGUCUCAGUCUGGAAACCUUGCUCUUCCUGAGGUGCCUACCUUCUCGUCACUGCCCCCUCUCUGGACAGCAGGCUCCGUGGGGGCAGGUAGAUUAGUCGGGGUUCUCCGGAGAUACAGAACCAACAGGGCAGAGAGGGAGGGAGAGAGAGAGAGA